AGCAGCCGCGGUAAUUCCAGCUCCAAUAGCGUAUAUUAAAGUUGUUGCAGUUAAAAAGCUCGUAGUUGAAUUUCGGGAUCGACGGGUCGGUCGCGCCUCCGGUGUGUACUGGCCCUGUCGGUUUCUCCCUUCUGACGAACCACGAUGUCAUUAAUUUGAUGUCGUGGGAAAUCAGGACUGUUACUUUGAAAAAAUUAGAGUGUUUAAAGCAGGCAUUCGCUUGAAUACAUUAGCAUGGAAUAAUGAAAUAGGACGUUUGAUCUUAUUUUGUUGGUUUCUAAGAUCGACGUAAUGAUUAAUAGGGAUAGUUGGGGGCAUUAGUAUUCAAUUGUCAGAGGUGAAAUUCUUGGAUUUAUUGAAGACUAACUACUGCGAAAGCAUUUGCCAAGGAUGUUUUCAUUAAUCAAGAACGAAAGUUAGGGGAUCGAAGACGAUCAGAUACCGUCGUAGUCUUAACCAUAAACUAUGCCGACUAGGGAUCGGAUGAUGUUAAUUUUUAAUGACUCAUUCGGCGCCUUAA
rnacentral:rRNA from 1 species